AGCGAANCGGGAAGAGUCCAGCGCCGAAUCCCGCACCCCAGGGUGCCGGGAAAUGUGGCGUUUGGGAGUGAGCGUGCCGCGGGCGGCGCCGGGCAGCAAGUCCCCCUGACCGGGGCUCUUGUCCAGAGCGGGUGCGAGACCCAUAGCUGCCUGGCCGCCUGCGGCUGCGAUCUCCCCGGAGUCGGGUUGCUUGAGAGUGCAGCCCUAAGCGGGUGGUAAACUCCACCUAAGACUAAAUACGACCGCGAGACCGAUAGCAAACAAGUACCGUGAGGGAAAGUUGCAAAGAACUUUGAAGAGAGAGUUCAACAGUACGUGAAACUGUUCAGAGGUAAAGAGGUGGGCCCUCGAAGUCCUGCGGCGGGAGGAUUCAGUCGUGAGGCCGGUCCGGUCGAGGCGGUGGUGUCGACCUGCUGUCCCUUCGCGGGGAAAGCGGGUCCUGUCGUCUUGGUCGAGUCCUGCGAUGCCGACGCAUUUCCUUUCCCGUCCGACGGACGCCGCAACCGGUCGGGCAGCGACCUGGGCCGAGGAGAAGGUGGCCGGUGGUUAUCCCUGUGGAUUUCUCUCCGGUGUUAUAACUCGGCGGUCGAAUGAAAAAUGGGGCGGAACUGCCCGACCGAGGUGUCGCGAGGCCCAAAUGGGACUCUGUCGUCUCCUCCUGCUUAGACAGGAUCCCGGAUCUGCGGAAUGCCCACGGGCCGAGAGCGCUGGGCGCACACUCCGUGUCACGAGUGGCGCCGUCGGCAGCUCGCCCUCAGAGGGGCGUCCGCGGCGGUUCCGGCGGAGGUUGGCGGUUGGCGGCGAGUAGAUCG
rnacentral:rRNA from 1 species